GAUUGAACGCUGGCGGCAUGCCUUACACAUGCAAGUCGAACGGCAGCACGGGAGCAAUCCUGGUGGCGAGUGGCGAACGGGUGAGUAAUACAUCGGAACGUGCCCAGUAGUGGGGGAUAACCCGGGCGAAAGCCCGGACUAAUACCGCGUACGACCUACGGGUGAAAGCAGGGGAUCUCAUGGCAACAUGCGACCUUGCGCUAUCGGAGCGGCCGAUGUCAGAUAGCUAGUUGGUGGGGUAAAGCCUACCAAGGCGACGAUCUGUAGCUGGUCUGAGAGGACGACCAGCCA
rnacentral:rRNA from 1 species